AGGCGAUGUGGGGAUGUAGAGA
rnacentral:miRNA from 1 species